rnacentral:rRNA from 1 species
GAUGAACGCUGGCGGCGUGCCUAAUACAUGCAAGUCGAGCGAAUGGAUUAAGAGCUUGCUCUUAUGAAGUUAGCGGCGGACGGGUGAGUAACACGUGGGUAACCUGCCCAUAAGACUGGGAUAACUCCGGGAAACCGGGGCUAAUACCGGAUAACAUUUUGAACCGCAUGGUUCGAAAUUGAAAGGCGGCUUCGGCUGUCACUUUUGGAUGGACCCGCGUCGCAUUAGCUAGUUGGUGAGGUAACGGCUCACCAAGGCAACGAUGCGUAGCCGACCUGGGAGGGUGAUCGGCCACACUGGGACUGAGACACGGCCCAGACUCCUACGGGAGGCAGCAGUAGGGAAUCUUCCGCAAUGGACGAUAGUCUGACGGAGCAACGCCGCGUGAGUGAUGAAGGCUUUCGGGUCGUAUAACUCUGUUGUUAGGGAAGAACAAGUGCUAGUUGAAUAAGCUGGCACCUUGACGGUACCUAACCAGAAAGCCACGGCUAACUACGUGCCAGCCGCCGCGGUAA